rnacentral:rRNA from 1 species
ACGGCGAGUGAAGCGGUAACAGCUCAAAUUUGAAAUCUGGCCUCACGGCCCGAGUUGUAAUUUGUAGAGGAUGCUUCGAGCAUGGUCCGGCCUAAGUUCCUUGGAACAGGACGUCAUAGAGGGUGAGAAUCCCGUAUGUGGCCGGGUGCCUACGCUUAUGUGAAGCUCCUUCGACGAGUCGAGUUGUUUGGGAAUGCAGCUCAAAAUGGGUGGUAAAUUUCAUCUAAAGCUAAAUAUUGGCCAGAGACCGAUAGCGCACAAGUAGAGUGAUCGAAAGAUGAAAAGCACUUUGGAAAGAGAGUUAAACAGUACGUGAAAUUGUUGAAAGGGAAGCGCUUGCAACCAGACUUGCGUGCGGCCGAUCAUCCGGUGUUCUCACCGGUGCACUCGGCCGUGCUCAGGCCAGCAUCGGUUUCGGCGGCUGGAUAAAGGCCCUAGGAAUGUGGCUCCUCUCGGGGAGUGUUAUAGCCUAGGGUGCAAUGCAGCCUGCUGGGGCCGAGGACCGCGCUUCGGCUAGGAUGCUGGCGUAAUGGUUGUAAGCGGCCCGUCUUGAAACACGGACCAAGGAGUCUAACAUCUAUGCGAGUGUUUGGGUGUCAAACCCAUACGCGUAAUGAAAGUGAACGGAGGUGAGAACCCUUAAGGGUGUAUCAUCGACCGAUCCUGAUGUCUUCGGAAGGAUUUGAGUAAGAGCAUAGCU